UGGCCGUAAACGAUGUGGACUUGGUGUUGGAAUGGCUCAGAGCUGCUCCAGUGCCGAAGGGAAGCUGUUAAGUCCACCGCCUGGGAAGUACGGUCGCAGGACUGAAACUUAAAGGAAUUGGCGGGGGAGCACCACAACGCGUGGAGCCUGCGGUUUAAUUGGACUCAACGCCGGGAAGCUCACCGGAUAAGACAGCGGAAUGAUUGCCGGGCUGAAGACCCUGCAUGACCAGCUGAGAGGAGGUGCAUGGCGUCAGUGACU
rnacentral:rRNA from 1 species